UCUGACAGACUGCUACUUCCUGGAAGAGUGGGAGCGGCUUCAGGACAGCUGGGCGGAGCUAGAACACCAGAAGCGGAGCUUCCAUUGGGAGAGACGGGCCUUCACCGACGCCGCCAUCCGAUUGGGCCACGAGAGACGUGAGUUUGAGCAGCAGAGGGCCUGUGUGGUGAAGCAGCAGUAUCUGUUUGACUCUCCGUUUGGGAGGACGUUGCAGCGUCACAACAGGAGAGAGAGCACCGUCCUCAAUCUCUCGGAUUCUGAUCACAUGAUCUUGUCCGGCUGCCGGCCGGCCACGCCCUCCUCU